UCACCCAGAGAGUCCACUAUCAAGUUAGAUAAUUGUUGCCAUGGUAACUAAGAAUAACCUGCUUCACAGCUCUGGUUACGUACCUCUACAAUGGAGGUAAAGACCAAGACUAUACUCUGUAUUUGCUACCUCCUUUAGGGGACCAUACAUUCUUCCAUACACUCUGGAAAACUCCAGAAAAUGACUGAGCUCCACUCAGACUGGUUCCAGAACCCACACCGUGGGUCCAGUUGAGUCAAAUCCCACAUUUGGAACAUCAUAACCUCGUGAACCCGCAGGCUGGACAGCAGACCUGCUGGAUUAUAGCUGACCAAUGUAGUGUGGAAAGAGCUUGAGUCAGUGCUGUGGAGUCAAUGACCCCUGAGCCAGAGAGAGUCUGCAGGGGAAAACUCAACAAGUACUUUAGCUGCACGCCGCUGCUCCACACUCAUCCUGCUCGCUUUGCUGCUGCCGCCGGGGGGACGUCUGUCGCUUCAGAUUUUCUCAGCAUCUUUUUCUCAAACAAAUGAGACAGAUUUUAAAGGCAAGUUUCCUUACAACUAAACAACGCCUGAUUUAGCUUCAGCAAACGAAGCUCCAAACGCGUCAAGGUAAACAGGCCCUCCACCUAUGUCUGAGAAACACAAAGACUUCUUCAGCAUGGCUUUACUUCUAUCAGAUUACUGCUGUUGUAAGUGAUCGACCCUCAAAUAUUGUAGAAUACUCUCAUUUUGAAACUAAAUAAAUACUUGUUAAAUGCUAACUUGUUUAUAUUGAUAACCAGCAAGGCUUUGAUUAAUUAUUAUGUCUGUAUCUUAAAUUGAAGCUCUGUAGAGUUGGUACUUAACCUUUUUUAGGCCACAGAUCGGUUCAAAUUAGAAAAUGUUUUCACAGAACUGUCCGAACGGGGAAGAAGUUGUUAUUUUUAGGUUUCCUGUUUAUGAAAAUCUAUUUUCAAAAUAAAAAAAUCUAAAAAUGUCAGUAUAUAAUAGUUUCUGAUUUGAAACAUUCCAUAAUAAAACUUUCAAGGUGAAAAGA